AGUAACGCGUGGAGAACCUGCCGUAUACUGGGGGAUAACACUUAGAAAUAGGUGCUAAUACCGCAUAAGCGCACAGCUUCGCAUGAAGCAGUGUGGAAAACAAAAAGCUAAAGCUUUUGGUGGUAUACGAUGGAUCCGCGUCUGAUUAGCUGGUUGGCGGGGUAAAGGCCCACCAAGGCGACGAUCAGUAGCCGGCCUGAGAGGGUGAACGGCCACAUUGGGACUGAGACACGGCCCAAACUCCUACGGGAGGCAGCAG
rnacentral:rRNA from 1 species